GGGUAUAGCGAAGUUGGUAUCGCGCCUGCUUUGGGAGCAGGAUGUCGAAUGUUCGAACCAUGUGCUUGCCCU
rnacentral:tRNA from 1 species